UACCAGCACCCCGAGUGUCGGGACGAUUAUUGGGCCUAAAGCAUCCGUAGCCGGUUUUACAAGUCCCCCGUUAAAUCCAGCUGCUUAACAGAUGGGCUGCGGAGGAUACUAUAAGACUAGGAGGCAGGAGAGGCAAGCGGUACUCAGUGGGUAGGGGUAAAAUCCGUUGAUCCAUUGAAGACCACCAGUGGCGAAGGCGGCUUGCCAGAAUGCGCUCGACGGUGAGGGAUGAAAGCUGGGGGAGCAAACCGG
rnacentral:rRNA from 1 species